rnacentral:lncRNA from 10 species
CCUCCUGCCCCUACCCAAACCACAUAGACUGACUUUACCUCCCCUGCAUCUGAGCCCAAGACUGUCAGGCUUAUGAGAGCUUCCUCCGGGCAGGACUCGGAGGGUUUCAGUUUUACGGUUUGAAAAACAGGAGGAUAUUAGGAGAGGCUUUUCUUUCAGCAGGGACACACUGGAGCGACUGGGCAGAUGACCGAAAUGAAGAGGUGGGGAGGAGGCCAGGGUCGCAGGAGGGCGGAACCCUCAAGCCAACAAUGGCAGGUGCUGGGAAGGGGGCAGAGUCUGAGCCAAGCUGCAAAAGGAAGAAGAGAAGCCUCACCCUCUCCAUAGACAAUGGAGGGAGAAGGAGCUCCUGGGAGAUGUGUGGGGUUAGGGGAAUGAGGGUGAUCCUGCCUGAAAGACUGAGGAGCCCCAAAGGUGUGGAGUGGGUGAGGUAGGGUCGGAGAGGCCUGGACCCAGAGUCAGGAGUGAAGUCAUCUUGGAGAAAACGAGAGGAGGGUGAAAGCUGAGUGUUCCAGCCCCAUCAGAUGGUCCCCACCGGACUCUUGAAGUGGAGAUUACAAAUUACAAGUGACAUGAAUGGACAUAAUUUUCUACCGUUUCUCCAAGAAUGCUCACCUGGAGAGGUGCAAAAACAGCAGGAAGGGGUAUGGGGUUCAACUCAGUGUUGGACUUUGCCCAACAGGGCUCAUGGAGAACACCGUGAUCCAGUGAGGACUUCUGAUAAGCUGCGGGCAGCAGCCCGAGUGGGAGGAAGUCCGGGUGGCGUGGUGGACACACGGAAGGCAGCUCACUGCUCACGGUCUAUGUGAUCGUGAAACUGAAGGGUCAUCUCUUAGGGCGGCUGAUUUGGAAGGAGCAGGAGCUUGGGGUGAGAUGCACAGAUUGGUGUCCUUGGAGGAACGCUGGCAGCCAGUCCUUGGGAGGAACUACAAGAGUGACCAGAGAAGUAUUAUGGCCGGGUCCACCUCGCUGUGAGCACAUGUGCAUCUGACUUCUAAGAGAAAAAUUCCAAAAAGGAGCCCGCUGUAAUUGAUUGGAAAUACAUCUGACUUAUAAUCAAAAAGGAACACUGUGGGCUCACUGCCAGACUAUAUGAAUCUCCAGGGUUUUUCAGCACCCGAAAGGCACAAAAGUCCAGAGAACAUGAAAAAUAGUAUGCUCAAUGCAAAUGUAUCAGAUGACGCUUCCAUGUCACCAUCAGAAUAUGAAAAAUAGAAAUCUUAGAAGAAGAGUUUUUAUUAACUAACAGGUAUAAUUAAAGACAAUGGAAAUAAGCAUAUUAAGAAGAAAAUAUAUUCAUUUAAUUGUGAAGAAGAUCUUCAUUUGAUGUCAGCUGUGAGGUCUGGACAAUCCUUUGUUGAAUCCAAGAUUUCUGAAAUGGUGUCCAUUAUGACUUCAUUUAAUGCAAGUAAUUAAUAUUUGUCAAAAAUAUACCCUAUGGUAUCUAGAAGAAUAUACUUUCUAAAUAUUGGCAUGUGUAUUCUCAAAAGAAGAAAAAGCUGGUAAGACAGUGAUGUGUUUAUUCACAUCAAACCUUCAAGCAAAGAAACUCUCAGCAGUCCCUAUGGAUCAAUCGUGCAUUACAGCUCAGCUCCACCAACACACUGCAAACAACUAAGACUCAAGGGAGCAAACAAAAACAGCGAGUUCUAGGAAUGGUUGAUUUGGGGUAUGAAACAAAGGUGCUGUUGCUCAAACUCUGGGUGAAGGAAUAAUCCAAGUGGCUGACAAUCAUGGACACUGUUUCUGAGGUCAGAGUGGGGAAUCUGUGACAGUGAGAACAUAAUCUUCCGUGAGUUAAGAGCUGAGGUUGACAGCGGUAAGUCGCCCACCACCUCUCCCUGCUGGACCACGAGGUUAGCGACUUUGAAAAGUUUCCUUGCUGAGGCUUCCAUGAUCUUCUGUUGUUGUUUUUGUUAUUAUCUUGCCUGGGACGUGUCUUGAUAAUGGUAAUUAAUGGCAGGAUACAACUUAUUUCUCAAUACGCUAUUUAAUAGACACAUUUUCUAGGCAAAUAGUAUAGUUGGAAAAGUCAAAAAUAACUGUCACUAAGUCUCGGGGGUGAGGGAAGAGACGAAGUGACACACAUUCUCUUAUAACGAAACCUAUUUAUUAUUAAACAUCUUCGUAGAAUAUACGGAGGUUAUUUUCAUCCAUCCAUUCAAAUGGUAGUUUUUGAGUGUCUUUUUCACAUGAUUAUGAGGUGCUGUGGGGAUAGAAAAUGCUUAAGUUGUAGGCUGUGCGUUAAGGACCUUGUGACAUACGUGUGCAUGCUUAGGAAGGAUUUCCUCCCAGAGAUGCAGGGUUUCUAGUUCAUUCCAAAUUAAACAAUGGCAAGAGUCGUGGGCUCCCUCUCCUUACAGGUUGGAGUAUCAGAAUCAACACGUUCUGCUUUUACAUUUUUCCUCUUUCCCAAACUGGAGAAGGCAUUUAAUGAAGGGCUCAGUGUGUAGCCCAGGGUCGGAACGUCUGGAAGGUCUGAAGAAGCUGUUCAGAUGCAAGGUCGGGGGAAGCCAGUCUUGGGCACGUGCACGCUCCAGGUCACACCUGUCUGCUCGGAGAAGCCAGGACUGACCACUAUUUCCUUCUCACAUUAAAAAACAAUCUAACUACCAAGUCAACCUCCUCACUCCAUCUGAAAACACAUUUAAGAGGCUGAGGCAGGAGAACCCUUUGAACCUGGGAGGCGGAAGUUGCAGUGUGCUGAGAUGGUGCCACUGCACUCCAGCCUGGGCAACAGAGCAAGAUCCCAUCUCAAAAGACAUUACGUAUUUUAUUUUACUUUUAAAAAUCCAUUUCUUUUAUUAUAACAGGGCUCAGUUAAUAAAAUUACUUACCAAAUGAAAAAGACCAUUUUCUUAGAUGAAAAAGCAAGUGAGUUGAUAUAUUUUAAAUAAUAAAACUUACAUCUAUUACAAUACUCAGAGAAUCAUGAAUAUGUACAUUUGAACUAAAACAUUCAGAGCCUUACCUCAGGUCACACUUUCAACGUCUCUAGAAGCAAUAAAAAGACACCUUUCCUCUCAACCACAGUAGCUGCAGGAGAUUGAAAGGCAAUGUAAGAGCAGGCUGGGGACCAUAAAAAUUCCAGCUUUUGCAACAAAGACACAAUCUUUGUACUGAGCAUGAUUUCAACUUUAACAUAAGGAAGCAAAAUAUUUUUUUCUGAAGUUAAACAUUAAUAACAAGAUAUAUAAAUUUUUUUUUCCAUGUAAUGCACACGAAUUGAAUUAACUUUGAAUCAACUUUGUCAGUACUUAGUAAGCAUUCAGAUGUCCAGAG